rnacentral:rRNA from 1 species
UUAGGCCUUGACAUACUAAGAACUUUCCAGAGAUGGAUUGGUGCCUUCGGGAACUUAGAUACAGGUGCUGCAUGGCUGUCGUCAGCUCGUGUCGUGAGAUGUUGGGUUAAGUCCGCAACGAGCGCAACCCUUUUCCUUAUUUGCCAGCGGGUAAUGCCGGGAACUUUAAGGAUACUGCCAGUGACAAACUGGAGGAAGGCGGGGACGACGUCAAGUCAUCAUGGCCCUUACGGCCAGGGCUACACACGUGCCACAAUGGUCGGUACAAAGGGUUGCUACCUCGCGAGAGGAUGCUAAUCUCAAAAAGCCGAUCGUAGUCCGGAUCGCAGUCUGCAACUCGACUGCGUGAAGUCGGAAUCGCUAGUAAUCGCGGAUCAGAAUGCCGCGGUGAAUACGUUCCCGGGCCUUGUACACACCGCCCGUCACACCAUGGGAGUUUGUUGCACCAGAAGUAGGUAGUCUAACCGCAAGGAGGACGCUUACCACGGUGUGGCCGAUGACUGGGGUGAAGUCGUAACAAGGUAAGCGUAGAUGA